rnacentral:rRNA from 1 species
UGGGGAAUAUUGCACAAUGGAGGGAACUCUGAUGCAGCGACGCCGCGUGAGUGAUGAAGGAAUUCGUUUCGUAAAACUCUGUUCUAUGGGAAGAAAAGGACUGUACCAUAGGAGAAAGCUCCGGCUAAAUACGUGCCAGCAGCCGCGGUAAUACGUAUGGAGCGAGCGUUGUCCGGAAUUAUUGGGCGUAAAGGGUGCGCAGGCGGCUUUACAAGUUGGAUGUGAAAUAUUGUGGCUCAACCACAAACGUGCAUCCAAAACUGCAAAGCUUGAGUUAAAGAGAGGGAAGUGGAAUUCCUGGUGGAGCGGUGGAAUGCGUAGAUAUCAGGAGGAAUACCGGUUGCGGAGGCGACUUACUGGAAUUAAACUGACGCUCAGGCACCAAAGCGUGGGGAGCAAACAGG